GACGAACGCUGGCGGCGUGCUUAACACAUGCAAGUCGAACGGUGAUGGGUGCUUGCACCUUGAUCAGUGGCGAACGGGUGAGUAACACGUGAGCAACCUGCCCCCGACUCUGGGAUAACCCCGGGAAACCGGAGCUAAUACCGGAUAUGAGGCGCCUGGGCAUCCGGGCAUCUGGAAAGAAUUUCGGUCGGGGAUGGGCUCGCGGCCUAUCAGCUUGUUGGUGGGGUAAUGGCCUACCAAGGCGACGACGGGUAGCCGGCCUGAGAGGGCGACCGGCCACACUGGGACUGAGACACGGCCCAGACUCCUACGGGAGGCAGCAGUGGGGAAUAUUGCACAAUGGGCGCAAGCCUGAUGCGGCGACGCCGCGUGAGGGAUGAAGGCCUUCGGGUUGUAAACCUCUUUCAGCAGGGAAGAAGCGCAAGUGACGGUACCUGCAGAAGAAGCGCCGGCUAACUACGUGCCAGCCGCCGCCGUAACAC
rnacentral:rRNA from 1 species